CUAUCACAGGGCACAUGAUUUACCCCAGCCCGGUCUGACUUCAGUUGGGUUAUUUCACGCGGACAUCAGAGCUCAGAGAGAAGCAGGGGGGCUGCAAGGGCCCUCCAGAGGUCACCUGCUCCGACCCCGCUGAGGGCCGGUGUGGCCCAGGAAGGACGCGGCUGCCCCGGUCCUGUGCACAGGGAUCAGACUUGAUGACCUACUGAGGUCCCUUCUGACCUGAACAUCUGUGAAUCUAUGAAGCCCUGCCUCUCCCCACCUCCGGAGCCUGUACCAAGCUGAGCCAUGAGGCAUCUGAAAACUAUGUCUGCAUUUGCAGGCUUAGGAAAAGAAGAAAAAGAAAAAGUUGUUUUUAUAUCAUCAUGGUGGGAAAACUACAAGAAAACCCAUUUGGCAUAUUGCCAGCAAAAGUAAUCUUUGACAAGCAAAUGGAGAGAAAGGGAAUUAUGUCAAUAUGUUUUGUAGUACUGUCCUAAUAUAGCAGAUCAUUCCAGUAUUUCAGAGGUGAAAACAGGGCUUCUUCAAUUCAACUGUAAAAUGUUACUAACUCAUAGUUUCAUAGCUGUCAGGGGCUGGAAGUGAACUUUCAGAUCAAUGGGUCCAGCCCUCCUGCACUUGGGCAGGAAAGACUGCCAGGAUCAGAUGACCCCAGCAAGAUGGGCACCAAGACACUUUUAGAAGAUCGCCAGGGUGGAUGUCUGUACCACCUCUGGGGGAAGUCUGUUCCAAACCCUCAGCACCCAACUUUUAAAGAGGUUUUUCCUUAUGUCUAGCCUAAAGCAAUCUUCAAUCAGUUUAUGCCCAUUAUUUCUUGUCCUACCCUGGGGGGCCUUGGUGAAUAGAUGCUCCCCCAAGCCCUGAUGUAUGCCCCUGAUAUAGGCUGCCACCAAAUCCCCUCUGAGUCUUCUCUUCUCCAGGCUGAACAGUCCCAAGUCUUUCAGCCUCUCCUCAUAUGACUUGGUAUCUAGAAACAUGUUAAAGAGCACUGGUCCAGGUACUGAACCCUGGUCACCUUCUGCCGUGAUGACUCAUUUCUGUCAAUUGAUACCCUUUGGGUCCUGCCAUGGAGCCAGUUACCUAGCCACUGGACUAUAAAGUUGUUGAGGCUGCAUUUUCCCAGUUUAACCAUGAGUUUCCCAAUUUAACUCAGUCAAAGACAGGAAACACUUCAAAAACUUCAGAAUAAAUCCUUUUCCGCUAUACACUGGUGACAGAUAGGGGAUACAUGUGCACUCCCUGAGAUUGGCAGUGCAUCCCCUAAAAGAAGCGCUGUCGAUGCUGCCGGUGGUGCCUUCAGGCAGUCGCUGCUCACCACCUCUCCCCCUCACCUCCAACACUGCCGGUGGCAUCUGUGGGUAGUCACUGACCACCAGUUGGUGCUUGCCACCCCCCCCACCACUGCCACCACCUGCAGGCAGUCACCAUGCCCCCCCAGCCUCCAGAGGCAUGCGUCGUUCAUGCCACUAUAGGAAAGACACAUCACUGUUAAUCCAUGUCUCCCUAAACCCUUAAAACAUUAACAAAGUCUUUCAAAAAUUUCAACCAAAAGCCUUACCCUAAGAAGGGUACAGACACCAAAAGAGAGAAGUGUCUGAGAUUCCAGGAAGUCCACAAGGGACUUGUAGACAUGUACCAUCAGGUUGAGGUGAAGCUGAUGUCCCACUUUGGAUGACCUACCUGUUCUUUCUUCAGCAGUCUCAUGGGAGGAGGUUGGUCAUUGUUCUGCUAAAUAGGACAGUUGCUGGUUAAUUAUGCUUUCAGUAUAAUAUUUUUGAUAACCUCACUAUUUAUUUCCUUUCUUUUAAACACAUGAGUUUUGUAAAUGGAUGAAAGAGUAAUGAAUUACUAUCAAUUAAGAAUGUUAACCAGUUUUUUUUUAACAUUUUUAAUCUGCAUUUUUUGAGCACUCCUUUAGCCAGAAGCAAGCAACAUGGAGAGGGUCCAGAGAAGGGCAACUCGUAUGGUCAAGGGCCUGCAGACCAAGCCCUACGAGGAGAGACUAGGGAACCUGGACCUUUUCAGCCUCCGCAAGAGAAGGUUGAGAGGCGACCUUGUGGCUGCCUUUAAGUUCAUCACGGGGGCACAGAAGGGAAUUGGUGAGUAUUUAUUCGCCAAGGCGCCCCCAGGGGUUACAAGAAACAAUGGCCACAAGCUAGCAAAGAGCAGAUUUAGAUUGACAUUAGGAAGAACUUCUUCACAGUUCGAAUGGCCAAGGUCUGGAAUGGGCUCCCAAGGGAGGUGGUGCUCUCCCUUACCCUGGGGGUCUUCAAGAGGAGGUUAGAUGAGUAUCUAGCUGGGGUCAUCUAGACCCAGCACUCUUUCCUGCUUAUGCAGGGGGUUGGACUCGAUGAUCUAUUGAGGUCCCUUCCGACCCUAACAUCUAUGAAUCUAUGAAUCUAUGGUUCAAAGUGCACUUUCCCCUCUGCAGAGGCAAGUAGGUACAAUCUAACCACUUCAGGCCUACGUGAGAUCACCUUAAAAGCUAAACAAAACACAGGCAUUAUAUUAGGCAUUACGUUCAGCUAUACAGCCACUUCUGGAGCUGCAGAAGCCCUGGAAGGGAGAGAUUACUCCUUCCUAUAGAACCCCUCUUUCCAACAAGAGCAUUUCAUUUAGAACUGACAUGAGAUGCAGAAUUUGAGCUAUUAUUUGUAACAGUGCCUCUGCUUUGUAAAUUCUUUUUGUCCCGUCCCACCCUGCCUCUCUUUUGGAAGGAAAAGAAAACCAGUAUAACACAAGAAAAGAAUUAUAGUAUAUGAAGAAUAAUCCAGCCUUUUCAACUAGUGAAGACAUAUGAAGUAACUAACUAAAUGCCUUAGGAUUUUCAUCCUCUGUCAGUUUCUGAUUAUACAAAGCACUUUCUUUUCCUAGCUUAUGUGAGCAGAUCUAGUCAAUUUCUUGUAACUGACAUAUUACCUACAUGUUUGGAAUAAUAAAGCCUCUUAUAGCAUUUAAA